rnacentral:rRNA from 1 species
CCAGGUCUUGACAUCUUGCGCUAACCUAAGAGAUUAGGCGUUCCCUUCGGGGACGCAAUGACAGGUGGUGCAUGGUCGUCGUCAGCUCGUGUCGUGAGAUGUUGGGUUAAGUCCCGCAACGAGCGCAACCCUUGUUACUAGUUGCCUACCAUUCAGUUGGGCACUCUAGUAGAGACUGCCGGUGACAAACCGGAGGAAGGUGGGGACGACGUCAGAUCAUCAUUGCCCCUUAUGACCUGGGCUACACACGUGCUACAAUGGACAGUAC